UACGUAGGCAGCGAGCGUUGUUCGGAGUUACUGGGCGUAAAGGGUGUGUAGGCGGUUAUUUAAGUUUGGUGUGAAAUCUCCCGGCUCAACCGGGAGGGUGCGCCGAAUACUGAAUGACUUGGAGUGCGGGAGAGGUGAGUGGAAUUCCUGGUGUAGCGGUGAAAUGCGUAGAUAUCAGGAGGAACACCGGUGGUGUAGACGGCUCACUGGACCGUAACUGACGCUGAGGAGCGAAAGCGUGGGGAGCGAACAGG
rnacentral:rRNA from 1 species